rnacentral:rRNA from 1 species
AUGGAGGCCUACAAGGUCUGGGUGCGGAAGAACCGGGACCUCGUCCGCUCCCUCGAGUCCCUCGCCAACGGGGUCACAUGGAUACUUCCUGAGCGCUUCGCUAACUCCGAGAUUGCCCCAGAAGCAGUAUAUGCACUUCUGGGCAUUGUAAGUUCUGUCAACCAGCAUAUAAUUGAGACACCAAAUGAUGGUCACUCACUGGCCUCCAAGGAACAAUCUAUCCCAUGGGCUCUUGUUGUAUCUAUACUCAAGGAUGUGGAAGCAGUUGUUGAAGUUGCCGCCCAGCACUUUGUUGGAGAUGAUCGCAAAUGGGGCUUCCUUGCUGUUACAGAAGCAGUGAAAGCAUGUGUCAGGUUAGCCGCUUUCAGGGAGAGUGGCUACAGGAUGCUCUUACAAGGAGGGGAGGUGGAAAACGAAGAGGAGGAUGUUCUUGAAGACAAUCAGGGAGUCAAGACUAAUGGAGUGCCAGUAAUCUAUCCGGUCAAUGGACAUUCCCAAAAUGGCCAUUGGAUUACGUCUGAUGGUCCAGAUGGAAAACCUGGAAUUAUAUCUAAGAGUCUGGAGGGAAGAGCAGUAGCUGCUUUAAACAGGUUUGGUCAGAAUGCAAAGAUGUUGUCAGAUCCCACGUGGAUGAGCAGGCUCCAACCUUCUCCUGUUCCUCCUGCAGUGAUGGAGAUUGAGAAGCCAACUUUCGCAACCAUUUGGUCUUCUAAAGGGGUUUCUGGGCGCUUAUUCAUGUUAGGGGAGGCCGUCCACAUAUUCAGACCACUUGUAUACGUACUCUUGAUUAGAAAGUUUGGCAUCAAAUCUUGGACCCCGUGGUUGGUCUCAUUAGCUGUGGAGCUCGCAAGCCUUGGCAUUCAUUCGCAUGCAACAGAUCUGAAUCAUAGAGCUGGGAAAGUUCAUCAGCUCUCGUCUGCUGAGAGGGAUGAGUUGAAAAGGCGAAAAAUGAUGUGGGCACUUUAUGUCAUGAGAGAUCCGUUCUUUGCCAGCUACACCAGGCGUCAUCUUGAGAAGGCUGAGAAAGCACUGAAUCCAGUGCCGCUUAUUGGUUUCAUCACAGGUAAACUCGUGGAACUAUUGGAGGGGGCUCAGUCGCGGUAUACAUAUACAUCAGGCUCGUAG